UAGGGAAUCUUCCACAAUGGACGAAAGUCUGAUGGAGCAACGCCGCGUGAGUGAAGAAGGGUUUCGGCUCGUAAAACUCUGUUGUUAAAGAAGAACAUAUCUGAGAGUAACUGUUCAGGUAUUGACGGUAUUUAACCAGAAAGCCACGGCUAACUACGUGCC
rnacentral:rRNA from 1 species